AUUGAACGCUGGCGGCAUGCCUUACACAUGCAAGUCGAACGGUAACAGGUCUUCGGGUGCCGACGAGUGGCGAACGGGUGAGUAAUGCAUCGGAACGUACCUUUCAGUGGGGGGAUAACGUAGCGAAAGUUACGCUAAUACCGCAUAUUCUGUGAGCAGGAAAGCAGGGGAUCGCAAGACCUUGCGCUGAUUGAGCGGCCGAUGUCAGAUUAGCUAGUUGGUGAGGUAAAGGCUCACCAAGGCGACGAUCUGUAGCGGGUCUGAGAGGAUGAUCCGCCACACUGGAACUGAGACACGGUCCAGACUCCUACGGGAGGCAGCAGUGGGGAAUUUUGGACAAUGGGGGCAACCCUGAUCCAGCCAUGCCGCGUGAGUGAAGAAGGCCUUCGGGUUGUAAAGCUCUUCGGCCGGGAAAAAUCGCAUCAGUUAAUACCUAGGUGUGGAUGAGUGGUACCGGAAUAAGAAGCACCGGCUAACUACGU
rnacentral:rRNA from 1 species